UAGCCUUUAGUAGGUACUCACUGGCUCACAGCCUGGUAGCCUUUAGUAGGUACUCACUGGCUCACAGCCUGGUAACCUUUAGUAGGUACUCAAUGGCUCACAGCCUGGUAGCCUUUAGUAGGUACUCCCUGGCUUACGGCCUGGUAGCCUUUAGUAGGUACUCACUGGCUCACGGCCUGGUAGCCUUUAGUAGGUACUCACUGACUUACGGCCUGGUAGCCUUUAGUAGGUACUCACUGGCUCACAGCCUGGUAGCCUUUAGUAGGUACUCACUGGCUCACAGCCUGGUAGCCUUUAGCAAGUACUCACUGGCUCACAGCCUGGUAGCUUUUAGUAGGUACUCACUGGCUCACAGCCUGGUAGCUUUUAGUAGGUACUCACUGGCUCACAGCCUGGUAGCCUUUAGUAAGUACUCAAUGGCUCACAGCCUGGUAGCCUUUAGUAAGUACUCACUGGCUCACAGCCUGGUAGCUUUUAGUAGGUACUCACUGGCUCACAAUCUGGUAGCCUUUUAUAGGUACUCACUGGCUUACGGCCUGGUAGCCUUUAGUAGCUA